rnacentral:lncRNA from 1 species
CAAUAUUUUGAGCAAAACAUGUAUAUUUUAUUUCAAACAGAAUUUUUAUAUUUUAUGUUGUUAUGGAGGUAUAUGUGGCCAUGCUGACAUUGAAUUAUUCAAAAGGAAAAAUAAAAAAAAACUAAUACCAGAUAAGAAACAAAAAGGAAAAAAAGACAGCAAACAACAGUUAAAUGUGUUAAUGAAUAGAAAAAGAAAGCUAAACAUUUUAUAUAAUUUAGGAGACAGUGGUGAUAGUCUUGACGAUCCGGACGGUAGCAAUAAUGACUACCCUCCCAAAAAAAAUACAAAAAAAAAUCGAAAAAGCGAAUACGAUUACAAUAACGGUUGUCAUGAGUCAUUAACUAAAAGCGUUGGUACUGUGUAUGGUCAAGGUGACGAUAUGGAAUUUGCUAACUCAGAAAACGCAAAAGAAAAUGGUAAUUUACUAUUGCUCAAUAAUAAUAAUAACAAUGAUAACAAUAAUGACAAUAAUAACAAUAAUGACAAUAAUAACAAUGAUAACAAUAAUGACAAUAAUAACAAUAAUGACAAUAAUAACAAUAAUGACAAUAAUAACAAUAAUGACAAUAAUAAUAUAAAUAAUAAUGAAAGCAAAUUCGGGAAAGCAUCUAAGAAGAUAAAGACAAAAAGCAAUAAAAAAGAAAAAGCAAAAGCGGUAAAAAAAAAUACACACUUCCUUUUUGAUUUAUUAAAUUAUUUAAAUAAAAAUGUAAACAUAAACGAAUAUACCAAAGAAUUGAAUAAUUAUAAAUAUAACUUUCUAUUUCAAAAAUAUAAAAAAAAAAUAAGAAUAUUAGAAAAUAAUUUCUCUAGCUUAAAUACCCAAGGUAUAAUCGAUUACUCUUAUCCUCUUUUUAUUUUGAAAAAAAAAAAGGAAUAUAGUAAAAAAAGGAAUACAGAAAAAAAUAAAGAACAACCAGUACCACAUAAUGAAGCGGAAGAUGAACAAAGUGGUGUUAAAUGUAUAAACAAAAAUUAUAAAAACAGUUGUAAGUUAAUUCUAAUUGAUCAAAUUAAAACAAAAGGGAUACUGACAGAUUUCUGCAAAUCAAAUGAACUUAUAAAACCUAUCAGUCAAAGUAUUUACUUUGCUUUAUUUGGAAUUAAAGGAAAAAGCAAUAUACAAAAAGUGUUUUUCGAGAUACCUACCAUGCCUGUAUUGACUAUGUCGUUUUCGAAUUGCGUGAUAAAAGGUGUACGUUCAACGGGUGUGUAUCCAUCGGAGAUAUGUGACAGUGAUGGUAGUGAUGGUAGUAGUGGUGGUAGUGGUAGUAGUGGUGGUAGUGGUAGUAGUGGUAGUAGUGGUGGUGGCAGUUAUAGCAGUGGUAGUAGUGGUGGCAGUUAUAGCAGUNNNNNNNNNNGUGGUGGCAGUUAUAGCAGUGGUAGUAGUGGUGGCAGUUAUAGCAGUGGUAGUAGUGGUAACCCAUUUCCCUUUCAGUAUGUUAUUAUUGACUUGGAAGAAAGAAAAAAAAAACAAUCCGAAGGGAUAAAACAAGUUGAUACAUAUGGUAAUAGCAAUAAUUAUAAUAAUGGUAAUAACAUCAACUGUCAUAGUAAAAACGACAUAAACCCAACAGAUGCACAUAAAAAACAAUCUUUAAUACUUUGUUUAAUAAAAAAUAUUUUUUUUAUGUUAUCAAAAAAAUACAUAUUAAAACAGUUUAUAAAUUAUGAAAGUAAGAAACAUACCAUAGAUAUAUUAUUAAAACAAUUUUCAGAAAAAAUAAAUUGUUUUAAUAACAAAAAUGUAAAAAUUAUUAAAAAAAAAGAAGACCCAGACAAACAUAUGUUCGAUAUCCAUUUAAAUGAUGUUUAUUAUUCCGAUGAUGAAUUCUUUUUAAAAAAUAGCAUUUCUAGUAAGACUUCACCAGAGGGUAAAAUAUUUAAAAGUGAUAAUAACGACAUGGUUAACGACAAAGACUUAGACACAGACAUAGAUAACAAAUGCGACCUAUCAAAGAAACUAGACAUAAAAAAAGAAAUAAACAAUUUAGCAUAUUACAAAUAUAAUAAAAUUAUUAAAAUUUUGCACAAUUAUGAACACGGUAACAAUAUGACCGAAUCAUUUGCAUUAACAGAGUCAACGAGUGUAGAAAACUGUUUACAUUUUUUGAUUUAUUCACAGUUUAUUUAUUAUAAUAAAAAGGUUGUAAAUAUAUAUUUAAAUAAAAUAUUUUUUCCACAUGUGUUAUCUAAUGCAUGUUGUUAUAUUAAUGACAAGUACAAUGAAACUACUAAAAAUGACAAUAACAAUUAUGUUAUUAUUAAUUUUCGAGAUAAUUACUCUAACGAAAUGGUGAAAAGAAAAAAAUCGGAUGUAAU